rnacentral:lncRNA from 1 species
CGACAUGCCCCCACAAUACUCUAACUUUAUCUUUGCACUUCCUAGCAAUAAUACGAACUCAAUAUAUUUAAUUACAUAUGAUACGAGCAACACUUCAAUCAAUUAAUCCUUACUCAUAUUUAUAUUUUCCCUCAUAUCAUGAAACCAUCUUUAAUUAACUCACAUCUUAAUACAUUUUUACUAAAAUUACUUAUAUCCAUUGCUCAUGUAAUUCCUUAAAUUAUAUCACCGGCAACUUAAUUUUGAUGUCACGUGUCGACUUCAGCCUUUCUAAAUAAUUUCCACCCAAAUCCAUCUUAUAUUUCCACACAUAAUCCACAUAUAUGGCAGCAACAAUCAUUCUCACUUUAACUCGAUUAUUUCCUAGUUUACACGCAUCGUUAUCUAUCUAACUUUCAAUACUUUGUUUCUCAAUCCUCCAUCCACAAUAUUCCUUUUUCAUUUCUUUCAAAUGACAUGCCAUACAAUCUUAACAAUUUUCAACUAGCUUAUGUAAGUAGAUCCUUUCAACAACCAUAAUUUCCCACAAUAUUCAACUAACCGUAGGCUUUAAAACAUAGUGUUAAGCUUACCAUUUUCCUUUUCCACUUUGAGUCCUUCAUGUACCCAUGGGUUUAUUGGCUUACAUGUUAUCAAUUUUUCUCCAAUCAAGCCAAUCUUUGCUGCCACAAGAGAUUUCUCUAAGUCACAAACUCAUUUUCAAAGACUACUCAAGCCAAAAACAAGAAUUCUUACCGUUCCUUGCUUGGAUCACCAAAACCAAGCUUUUUUUUCUUCUUUUCUCUCUUUUUCUUUCUUCUUCUCCUAGAGUUUAUAUGUGCUGGAAAUUGGGGUUAGAAGUUGUAACUUUGGUGCACAAGAAGUUGGGAGAAGAAUGAAGCAAGAAGAGAAAAGAAAUGAAAAGAAAAUAAGGAAAGAAAAUGAAAGAAAAUUAGUUUUCCAUGGGAGAAUGAGAGAAUGGCACUGGAAGCUUCAACAAUGAAGAAGCAAAAAUAUCUUGCUGGGAGGAUAAGGACUGUUUUG